rfam:Aedes aegypti strain Liverpool supercont1.262 genomic scaffold, whole genome shotgun sequence.
UGCCCAGCAACACCUAUCCCUACCUCCUCGCGGUACUGGCCGGGGUACGAGUAACCUUGGGGAAGAUCGGGUAACCAACCCCCGGGGGGAACUUUGGUCGUAUGCUGACAGGGAAGG